UUUAUGGAGAGUUUGAUCCUGGCUCAGGAUGAACGCUGGCGGCGUGCCUAAUACAUGCAAGUCGAGCGAACAGACGAGGAGCUUGCUCCUCUGACGUUAGCGGCGGACGGGUGAGUAACACGUGGAUAACCUACCUAUAAGACUGGGAUAACUUCGGGAAACCGGAGCUAAUACCGGAUAACAUGUUGAACCGCAUGGUUCAACAGUGAAAGACGGUCUUGCUGUCACUUAUAGAUGGAUCCGCGCCGCAUUAGCUAGUUGGUAAGGUAACGGCUUACCAAGGCAACGAUGCGUAGCCGACCU
rnacentral:rRNA from 1 species